UGCGAGUCGAGAGGGUUCGGCCCUCGGCAGACUGCUCAGUAACACGUGGAUAACCUACCCUUAGGUGGAGGAUAAUCUCGGGAAACUGAGAAUAAUACUCCAUAGAUCUAGGCUGCUGGAAUGCAUCUAGAUUAAAAGCUCCGGCGCCUAAGGAUGGGUCUGCGGACUAUCAGGUUGUAGUCAGGGUAAAGACCUGACUAGCCUACGACGGAUAUGGGUUGUGAGAGCAAUAGCCCAGAGACGAUAUCUGAGACACGAUAUCGGGCCCUACGGGGCGCAGCAGGCGCGAAAUCUUCACAAUGUGCGAAAGCACGAUGAGGGAAUCCCAAGUGCUGGCACGUAAGUGUCAGCUGUUUCUUAGUCUAAAAAACUGAGAGAGUAAGAGCUGGGUAAGACGGGUGCCAGCCGCCGCGGUAAUACCUGCAGCUCAAGUGGUGGCCGCUAUUAUUGGGCCUAAAACGUCCGUAGCCUGUUUAGUAAAUGCUUGGGUAAAUUGUGUAGCUUAACUAUACGAAUACCGGGUAGACUGCUAAACUUGGGACCGGGAGAGGCUAGAGGUACUCCUAGGGUAGAGGUGAAAUUCUGUAAUCCUAGGGGGACCACCAGUGGCGAAGGCGUCUAGCUAGAACGGGUCUGACGGUGAGGGACGAAGCCCUGGGGCGCGAACCGGAUUAGAUACCCGGGUAGUCCAGGGUGUAAACGCUGCUUGCUUG
rnacentral:rRNA from 1 species